rnacentral:rRNA from 2 species
AACUUUCAACAACGGAUCUCUUGGUUCUGGCAUCGAUGAAGAACGCAGCGAAAUGCGAUAAGUAAUGUGAAUUGCAGAAUUCAGUGAAUCAUCGAAUCUUUGAACGCACAUUGCGCCCGCCAGCACUCUGGCGGGCAUGCCUGCCCGAGCGUCAU